rnacentral:lncRNA from 1 species
UUCGUUGCGAAAAAAUCCACCCGAGUUUCGCUACCCGGCAAUAGUGCAUUCGGGUGCCGAAAUACACCCGUUUUGCAUCAUUUUUCGUGCCGGAACCGAAUGCCCAAAAACACUCCCAAACAUGUUCUAGGGUCUAAUUAGGUAGAUUGGAUGCGUUCGUUGCGAAAAAAUCCACCCGAGUUUCGCUACCCGGCAAUAGUGCAAUCGGGUGCCGAAAUGCACCCGUUUUGCAUCGUUUUUCGUGCCGGAACCGAAUGCCCAAAAAUACUCCCAAACAUGUUCUAGUGUAUAUUUAGGAAGAUUGGAUGCGUUCGUUGCGAAAAAAUCCACCCAAGUUUCGCUACCCGGCAAUAGUGCAUUCGGGUGCCGAAAUGCACCCGUUUUGCAUCGUUUUUCGUGCCGGAACCGAAUGCCCAAAAACACUCCCAAACAUGUUCUAGUGUAUAUUUAGGAAGAUUGCAUACGUUCGUUGCGAAAAAAUCCACCCGAGUUUCGCUACCCGGCAAUAGUGCAUUCGGGUGCCGAAAUGCACCCGUUUUGCAUCGUUUUUCGUGCCGGAACCGAAUGCCCAAAAACACUCCCAAACAUGUUCUAGGGUCUAAUUAGGUAGAUUGGAUGCGCUCGUUGCGAAAAAAUCCACCCGAGUUUCGCUACCCGGCAAUAGUGCAAUCGGGUGCCGAAAUGCACUCGUUUUGCAUCGUUUUUCGUGCCGGAACCGAAUGCCCAAAAACACUCCCAAACAUGUUCUAGGGUCUAAUUAGGUAGAUUGGAUGCGUUCGUUGCGAAAAAAUCCACCCGAGUUUCGCUACCCGGCAAUAGUGCAUUCGGGUGCCGAAAUGCACCCGUUUUGCAUCAUUUUUCGUGCCGGAAACGAAUGCCCAAAAACACUCCCAAACAUGUUCUAGUGUAUAUUUAGGAAGAUUGCAUGCGUUCGUUGCGAAAAAAUCCACCCGAGAUUCGCUACCCUGGCAAUAGUGCAGUCGGGUGCCGAAAUGCACCCGUUUUGCGUCAUUUUUCGUGCCGGAACCGAAUGCCCAAAAACACUCCCAAACAUGUUCUAGGGUCUAAUUAGGUAGAUUGGAUGCGUUCGUUGCGAAAAAAUCCACCCGAGUUUCGCUACCCGGCAAUAGUACAUUCGGGUGCCGAAAUGCACCCGUUUUGCAUCGUUUUUCGUGCCGGAACCGAAUGCCCAAAAAUACUCCCAAACAUGUUCUAGUGUAUAUUUAGGAAGAUUGGAUGCGUUCGUUGCGAAAAAAUCCACCCAAGUUUCGCUACCCGGCAAUAGUGCAUUCGGGUGCCGAAAUGCACCCGUUUUGCAUCGUUUUUCGUGCCGGAACCGAAUGCCCAAAAACACUCCCAAACAUGUUCUAGUGUAUAUUUAGGAAGAUUGCAUACGUUCGUUGCGAAAAAAUCCACCCGAGUUUCGCUACCCGGCAAUAGUGCAUUCGGGUGCCGAAAUGCACCUGUUUUGCAUCGUUUUUCGUGCCGGAACCGAAUGCCCAAAAACACUCCCAAACAUGUUCUAGGGUCUAAUUAGGUAGAUUGGAUGCGUUCGUUGCGAAAAAAUCCACCCGAGUUUCGCUACCCGGCAAUAGUGCAUUCGGGUGCCGAAAUGCACCCGUUUUGCAUCAUUUUUCGUGCCGGAACCGAAUGCCUAAAAACACUCCCAAACAUGUUCUAGUGUAUAUUUAGGAAGAUUGCAUGCGUUCGUUGCGAAAAAAUCCACCUGAGUUUCGCUACCCGGCAAUAGUGCAUUCGGGUGCCGAAAUGCACCCGUUUUGCAUCAUUUUUCGUGCCGGAACCGAAUGCCUAAAAACACUCCCAAACAUGUUCUAGGGUCUAAUUAGGUAGAUUGGAUGCGUUCAUUGCGAAAAAAUCCACCCGAGUUUCGCUACCCGGCAAUAGUGCAUUCGGGUGCCGAAAUGCACCCGUUUUGCAUCAUUUUUCGUGCCGGAACCGAAUGCCUAAAAACACUCCCAAACAUGUUCUAGGGUCUAAUUAGGAAGAUUGCAUGCGUUCGUUGCGAAAAAAUCCACCCGAGUUUCGCUACCCUGGCAAUAGUGCAGUCGGGUGCCGAAAUGCACCCGUUUUGCAUCAUUUUUCGUGCCGGAACCGAAUGCCCAAAAACACUCCCAAACAUGUUCUAGGGUCUAAUUAGGUAGAUUGGAUGCGUUCGUUGCGAAAAAAUCCACCCGAGUUUCGCUACCCGGCAAUAGUGCAUUCGGGUGCCGAAAUGCACCCGUUUUGCAUCAUUUUUCGUGCCGGAACCGAAUGCCCAAAAACACUCCAAACUAUGUUCUAGUGUAUAUUUAGGAAGAUUGAUGCGUUCGUUGCGAAAAAAUCCACCCGAGUAUCGCUACCCGGCAAUAGUGCAUUCGGGUGCCGAAAUGCACCCGUUUUGCAUCAUUUUUCGUGCCGGAACCGAAUGCCCAAAAACACUCCCAAACAUGUUCUAGUGUAUAUUUAGGAAGAUUGGAUGCGUUCGUUGCGAAAAAAUCCACCCGAGUUUCGCUACCCGGCAAUAGUGCAUUCGGGUGCCGAAAUGCACCCGUUUUGCAUCGUUUUUCGUGCCGGAACCGAAUGCCCAAAAACACUCCCAAACCUGUUCUAGUGUAUAUUUAGGAAGAUUGGAUGCGUUCGUUGCGAAAAAAUCCACCCGAGUUUCGCUACCCGGCAAUAGUGCAUUCGGGUGCCGAAAUGCACCCGUUUUGCAUCGUUUUUCGUGCCGGAACCGAAUGCCCAAAAACACUCCCAAACAUGUUGUAGUGUAUAUUUAGGAAGAUUGCAUGCGUUCGUUGCGAAAAAAUCCACCCGAGUUUCGCUACCCCGGCAAUAGUGCAUUCGAGUGCCGAAAUGCACCCGUUUUGCAUCGUUUUUCGUGCCGGAACCGAAUGCCCAAAAACACUCCCAAACAUGUUCUAGUGUAUAUUUAGGAAGAUUGGAUGCGUUCGUUGCGAAAAAAUCCACCCGAGUUUCGCUACCCGGCAAUAGUGCAUUCGGGUGCCGAAAUGCACCUGUUUUGCAUCGUUUUUCGUGCCGGAACCGAAUGCCCAAAAACACUCCCAAACAUGUUCUAGGGUCUAAUUAGGUAGAUUGGAUGCGUUCGUUGCGAAAAAAUCCACCCGAGUUUCGCUACCCGGCAAUAGUGCAUUCGGGUGCCGAAAUGCACCCGUUUUGCAUCAUUUUUCGUGCCGGAAACGAAUGCCCAAAAACACUCCCAAACAUGUUCUAGUGUAUAUUUAGGAAGAUUGCAUGCGUUCGUUGCGAAAAAAUCCACCCGAGAUUCGCUACCCUGGCAAUAGUGCAGUCGGGUGCCGAAAUGCACCCGUUUUGCAUCAUUUUUCGUGCCGGAACCGAAUGCCCAAAAACACUCCCAAACAUGUUCUAGGGUCUAAUUAGGUAGAUUGGAUGCGUUCGUUGCGAAAAAAUCCACCCGAGUUUCGCUACCCGGCAAUAGUGCAUUCGGGUGCCGAAAUGCACCCGUUUUGCAUCGUUUUUCGUGCCGGAACCGAAUGCCCAAAAACACUCCCAAACAUGUUCUAGUGUAUAUUUAGGAAGAUUGAUGCGUUCGUUGCGAAAAAAUCCACCCGAGUUUCGCUACCCGGCAAUAGUGCAUUCGGGUGCCGAAAUGCACCCGUUUUGCAUCGUUUUUCGUGCCGGAACCGAAUGCCCAAAAACACUCCCAAACAUGUUCUAGGGUCUAAUUAGGUAGAUUGGAU